rnacentral:lncRNA from 1 species
GGCGGGAACCCUCAGCAGCGGCUUGACAAUCGAAGAACUUGCAGACCGCUGCUCUCCUCCUUGCACUCUCCUUAGUCUGUGACAUCAUCUUGAGAUUGGCCUCCGGGGCGGAGGCCCCGACGGGGGAACCCCUUGGAGAGACUCGGGGGACCGAAAGUGGCGGAAAGCCGGCGGAGAUGGCAAAGACCGACGCGAAAGGCGC